UGGGGGGUGAGCGGGAGUUAAAAACCAUCGGCGUGCGGGGGAGGCGAGAUACGAAGAUACAGCGAGGCGGGGUGAGAGAGAAGUAGCUGCCGCUCGCCACCGGGGAAGAGGCCAGCUAAGUGCCAGCAUCCGUAGCCAAGGUGGCCAGUGUUACGGUUCCUUCACGUUCAAUCUACCACUGUAACUCCUCCAUUUGGGGAAUUUCUUCGUAUUCGGAGGGUGUCUAGCCUUGUCCCGAAGAGGAUCACGAGAACACUGACGGACAUUCCUGUACAGUCUACUCUCUUACAGGCGCUAACUACUGUACCUAAAGUGAUCAGACUCCUUAUAGUUUACACUAUUAGAGAAGUUAGUCGAAAGAGUUACCGAACGACCAGAUAUACUGGGACUAAGUACACUCCAACAAUGGACCAGUGCCUUCCAAUGUACAGUUACUUCUCAGGCACGUAGCCUAUUACCCCACGGGGCUCCACUAUAACGCCACCUAAAUUUCCGAGGAUGUCUACGUGUUGAACUCGAACGCCCUCUAGAAAAACCACUGGAACCUGUAAGAGGAUCUUGACACCUACAUAAUUUAGAAUAGAACUCGUGAUUGCCCGUACUACUGUUGAAGUUCGUGAACACAGAACACGAACGACGGUCGUGACACUACCACGACUGUUGAAGGUUGUUCUAGUCGUGGUCUACCAUAGGACGCAACCAAGUCUAAGACUAGUACUCGUACUACUACCACCGCCACUACCAGUGAGACUGCUUCUAGAUCUAAAAGUGUAAGUAAUGGUGCCAAGAAGUCAACCAAAACUACGAAAGCCAUCGCCACCUGGCUUGCGGGUACUCUGAAGUCCAUCACCCCGUCGCUUACGUCUACACCCACUUUGGUAAAAGCGUUGAGGUUACACAGCUAUUCCAGUCGACCUUAACCACCUUGGUGGUGAGGACGUCCUUGGCUGGUCGGAGAACUCAGAGCCUAAUACGAAUGACGUACAAGGCCCUUACAUAGACCACUACCUAACGUAUUGGUCGGUCUAUGCUGACAAUGAGUUUUACUCCGACAACAACUACGAAGACACUUCUCCACGCCAAGAAGAGAACAGGCAUUGAACCUAUUCUUUAUAAGGUCCGCAGCGUUCCUUAAUGCAGAUGGAAGAGGUGGGUACCGGUGAUCAUGUUGACAGAAACUGGUCGGCAGCAACCUACUAUGUGUAGUAACAUGGUUCCGUUACCAGUAGUUACUCGAACCGUAACAUCCGGGACUAUUCCCGUAAUUGAGUCAUUAACGGCUAGGGUGCGCCUUCUUCGUCGUAGGAGCCUUGCCAAGCCUACGAGGUAGAUAAUCACAACGGCCGGAAGGCGUUUACGCCAGAUGGUCGCACCCGCAGUGUAGACUCCACCAUGGAUCAUUAGAAUGUACAAGAAGCCGUCUACACCUGAGCAGACUGUGCAGUACGUCGUUCUUCUAGUACAACGACACUCUUUCCAAUUCCACAGAAGAUUUCAACGUCAACGUUGAUCCAGAAGAGGAGCAAAGUGAAGGUUCCUAGACUUUCUACUAAAAUUUCUGACGAGCACCAAUGAAGAGGUUAUCGGCAACACGUUCUACUACGGGGACACUCCUUAAGUGGUCUACGACCAAAACCUCGACACCUUGUCGAGCGCCGUCGCCGGUGAUAAUGAGUUCACCAUCUUCUCUAACGGUUACAACAAGAAUCGUGAGUUGGACUUUGAAAACAACUAGUUCGAGUUCCUUUACGAGGAUGUCCAUCACAAUGGUAUCGACUUCUACGGGUUCGAGGACGGUUUCGUGGUACACAACAAGUUAGAGUUCAACUUAGACGGGUUAGGUGAUACCUUCUUGGUCAACUUUGACUUCGACGUCAUCCACACCUUCGAGUUCGACCCCUACUGGUUCAGUGGUGGGUUCUUAAGUCGUCAUUACAUCUACAUCUUCUACAACGACGAUUCUCCCGGAUGACCCUAAAGUGUGGUGGUAGAACGAGAGAACCGGAUCUAAAACCGGAAUGUGGCGGUCGUGAUCUAUAAUGAUGCUGUCGGCGUCAGGGUCGACGUCAUGGUCGUGGCCGGGGUCACCAAGAAAGCUGUUGAGUUCGUGGUCAUCACCUGGGUCGCCUAUUGUUACGAGGGGUUCUUGGUCGUUGUCGUAGGGGUUAACUAGUCUGCUGCCGUCGUGGAGUCCUAAAUUUCUUACGUUCUCUAUUAGAACAACUGCGAUUCGGCCAAAGUACGAGAAUCGGACGACUGUAACUCGCAGUUCAAGCUCAAAUACUAAAACUACAACUUCUGUUACUACAUUAACACACCCAACUUUUUCAGCUUGCACGGUCACAUGUUUAAUACGAAGACAUUUUCUGGUGGGGGUAGUCGGGACUUAAACAAUGUGGUCAAUAAGUUGGAGGGUAACCAUAAGUAGUCGGUCACACUGAGGAUUUAGCAUGUAAGCCUUUCAAUCCCAUUGGGCGGGUAGCGUCAAAGAUGACGGAGGUAUAACACCGGAGUACCGUAGACGUGAGUUUCUCCGAUAAAUGCGUCUUCAAUAGUUCGUGUGGUGACUAAGUCAACUGAGGUCCUAUUUUGUAUAAUCCCAAUAACUGUAGCUACCCACCACCCAGUGUAACCUCCUCGAACGAUUAUCACACUUUCUUCCACCAGUACAAAGCUUAUUAUAACGUCUCAACGUGUAGGCUUGAGAACGGCUAAAACAUGGGGUCCCUUCUAAUAAAAAGGCACCAACGAUAGUCAUAUAGAGGAGCAUCCACUAAAGUUCUCGUUCACGGAUUAGUUUGUAAAGGCAGCACUAGCUUUGAUGUAUGAAUCAGUGGUUUUAGUCUUAUAUCGGGAAGCGAAUAGUGUUUACGCUGCUUCGAAUACUUACCAUAAUUUUUUCGGAUCAACUAACACAUGUUCCUUAGCUCAUUGGUCUAGGUUCUGAUACUAGAACACAUGUAGCUACACAAGUUUGUCCUGUUACCGUGACUAACGCCAAAGAAGCGCAAGUUCUAGAACCUCAAGACCCUACCAUUUUAUACAGCCGUUAUUGAGUCCUCGUCUAGGGCCGCAACUCCUUCUAUAACUGUUCGUACACCGACCUGGUAGGAGUAUUGUCUACGUGCGUCACCGCGAUAGUGAACAAGUUAUUCUUCAUUAACUCUAAAAACUUCCGUUCUUUGUGUCCCCACUAACCGUUCUUGUAAUUUGUCCUAUUAAUGUCAUGUUGUACUCGUAGAGGUAAUUUUCCGUGGUGAAAAGAAAUAGGUUACCAUCAAGAAUUGUUUUCACCUACUAUUGAAAAUGAUACAUGUCUAACCCUUGAACAAAAGAAGUACGUUAUAUCGUAACAUCUGUCUUUUUACUUGGAUAACAUUACGUAAAAGGUAGCAUCCUGACAUACUAAAAACACUAGUUACUUCCAAGGAGAAAAGAAAU
rnacentral:rRNA from 1 species